rnacentral:rRNA from 1 species
CUGGCUCAGAACGAACGCUGGCGGCAGGUCUUAGGCAUGCAAGUCGAACGGAUGACAGAGAGCUUGCUCUCUGAAGUCAGUGGCGCACGAGUGAGUAACGCGUGGGAAACUGCCCUUCACUGGGGAAUAACGUUUGGAAACGAACGCUAAUACCGCAUACGCCCGCAAGGGGAAAGAUUUAUCGGUGAUGGAUGUGCCCGCGUUGGAUUAGCUAGUUGGUGGGGUAAUGGCCUACCAAGGCGAUGAUCCAUAGCUGGUCUGAGAGGACGAUCAGCCACGCUGGAACUGAGACACGGUCCAGACUCCUACGGGAGGCAGCAGCUAAGAAUAUUGGGCAAUGGAGGAAACUCUGACCCAAGCCAUGCCGCGUGAAUGAAGAAGGCCUUCGGGUUGUAAAGUUCUUUUAGUCAUGAAGAUGAUGACAGUAGUGACAGAAAAAGCACCGGCUAACUUCGUGCCAGCCGCCGC